UACAGAGGGGGCAAGCGUUAUUCGGAAUUAUUGGGCGUAAAGGGCGCGUAGGCGGCUUGGCAAGUGGAAGGUGAAAUCCCUCGGCUUAACCGAGGAACUGCCCUCCAAACUGCUUAGCUUGAGACCGGGAGAGGUGAGUGGAAUUCCCAGUGUAGCGGUGAAAUGCGUAGAUAUUGGGAGGAACACCAGUGGCGAAGGCGGCUUACUGGACCGGUACUGACGCUGAUGCGCGAAAGCGUGGGGAGCAAACGGG
rnacentral:rRNA from 1 species